UCCGCGUUAACCACGGCAGUCUCUUUAGAGUGCUCAACUUAAUGGUAGCAACUAAUGAUAAGGGUUGCGCUCGUUGCGGGACUUAACCCAACACCUCACGGCACGAGCUGACGACAGCCAUGCAGCACCUGUUCAGAGGCCCCGAAGGGAGAUACUGUUUCCAGUACUGUCCUCUGUAUGUCAAGCCUGGGUAAGGUUCUUCGCGUUGCAUCGAAUUAAACCACAUACUCCACUGCUUGUGCGGGUCCCCGUCAAUUCUUUUGAGUUUCGGCCUUGCGACUGUACUCCCCAGGUGGUAUACUUAUCGCGUUAGCUACGACACAUUCGGGGUUGAAUCCAAAUACAUCAAGUAUACAUAGUUUACGGCUAGGACUAC
rnacentral:misc_RNA from 1 species